rnacentral:rRNA from 1 species
GUGGGGAAUAUUGCACAAUGGGGGAAACCCUGAUGCAGCGACGCCGCGUGGAGGAAGAAGGUCUUCGGAUUGUAAACUCCUGUUGUUGAGGAAGAUAAUGACGGUACUCAACAAGGAAGUGACGGCUAACUACGUGCCAGCAGCCGCGGUAAAACGUAGGUCACAAGCGUUGUCCGGAAUUACUGGGUGUAAAGGGAGCGCAGGCGGGAAGACAAGUUGGAAGUGAAAUCCAUGGGCUCAACCCAUGAACUGCUUUCAAAACUGUUUUUCUUGAGUAGUGCAGAGGUAGGCGGAAUUCCCGGUGUAGCGGUGGAAUGCGUAGAUAUCGGGAGGAACACCAGUGGCGAAGGCGGCCUACUGGGCACCAACUGACGCUGAGGCUCGAAAGUGUGGGUAGCAAACAGGAUUAGAAACCCGGGUAGUCC